GGCCGCCUGGCGUAAUGGCAACGCGUCUGACUACGAUAGAUGCAAUUCAAAGGAUUAAAAGUAAUCAGGAGAUUGCAGGUUCGACCCCUGCGGUGGUCA